rnacentral:rRNA from 1 species
UAAAAACCCCGACUUCGGAAGGGGUGUAUUUAUUAGAUACAAAACCAAUGCCCUUCGGGGCUCUUUGGUGAUUCAUGAUAACUAUACGAAUCGCACGGCCUUGCGCCGGCGAUGGUUCAUUCAAAUUUCUUCCCUAUCAACUUUCGAUGUUUGGGUAUUGGCCAAGCAUGGUUGCAACGGGUAACGGAGGGUUAGGGCUCGACCCCGGAGAAGGAGCCUGAGAAACGGCUACUACAUCCAAGGAAGGCAGCAGGCGCGCAAAUUACCCAAUCCCGACUCGGGGAGGUAGUGACAAUAAAUACUGAUACAGGGCCCUUUCGGGCCUUGUAAUUGGAAUGAGUACAAUUUAAAUCCCUUAACGAGGAACAAUUGGAGGGCAAGUCUGGUGCCAGCAGCCGCGGUAAUUCCAGCUCCAAUAGCGUAUAUUAAAGUUGUUGUGGUUAAAAAGCUCGUAGUUGAACCUUGGGCCUGGCUGGCCGGUCCGCCUCACCGCCUGCACUGGUCCGGCCGGGCCUUUCCCUCUGUGGAACCCCGUACCCUAAGCUGGGCGUGGCGCGGAAACCCUGGCUUUCCUGU